CAAAUUUUCCAUUACGGUUUUCAUAAGCCUUGUGAUGUAAUAGUGAGAAAAUUAAAAGAAGAAAAAAUGCGUACUCACAUCACCAGUUGCAACAGAAACAAGAGAUAAAAGUGUCACUGUUGCAGUUUGGUAAUCAGUCAAGAUCUUAUAUGCUGAAUCAUCUAGUUUGUCCUGAAAAAUACCAAAUGCAUGUGAAAACAUUUAGUACAUAAGAAUCCAUCUCUCUUUAUAAAUAGAGGUUCUUGUUCAGUCUAUAUCAAUUGAUUUGAAAAACAUGCGUCUUCUUUCCCAUCAUCACACUGGACUCCCAUCAUCAGUAACAAGCUCUCUCUUCAAUGAUAACAAACCAAGCAGUGCAUAGAUUAAGAGCACAAAAUUUUGAAUAUUAAUGACCCUAAAAUAUCCUGAAUGCUCCAUUACGAAUUUCCCCAGAGACACUGAUCACUGACCUAAGCUUUCAUUUUAGAAUGCUGUUAAAUAUUCAAG
rnacentral:misc_RNA from 1 species